rnacentral:ncRNA from 1 species
CCGCCGGGACGACCCGGUGGCGGUGAAGACUCCGCGGGGACGACCCCG